rnacentral:rRNA from 1 species
UAGAGUUUGAUCCUGGCUCAGAGCGAACGCUGGCGGCAGGCCUAACACAUGCAAGUCGAACGGACCCUUCGGGGUUAGUGGCGGACGGGUGAGUAACACGUGGGAACGUGCCUUUAGGUUCGGAAUAGCUCCUGGAAACGGGUGGUAAUGCCGAAUGUGCCCUUCGGGGGAAAGAUUUAUCGCCUUUAGAGCGGCCCGCGUCUGAUUAGCUAGUUGGUGAGGUAACGGCUCACCAAGGCGACGAUCAGUAGCUGGUCUGAGAGGAUGACCAGCCACACUGGGACUGAGACACGGCCCAGACUCCUACGGGAGGCAGCAGUGGGGAAUCUUGCGCAAUGGGCGAAAGCCUGACGCAGCCAUGCCGCGUGAAUGAUGAAGGUCUUAGGAUUGUAAAAUUCUUUCACCGGGGACGAUAAUGACGGUACCCGGAGAAGAAGCCCCGGCUAACUUCGUGCCAGCAGCCGCGGUAAUA